AGUGCCCAAGGGAAUGAGUGAAGCUGCCAGCAUGAUCUAGCUCAAGGAUAAAAGCUAGAUUUUGAUCAUAAACCCUCUUGUAGCUUUGAAGGAACUUGGCCAUAAACAUGAAUCCUGGAGAUGCCAAAGAAUGAAAACAUGAUUAAAGGACAUUAAUCCUGGCUAGGUCAUGCUCUGGCAGCUUCAUUUCUUCCCUUGCUGGGCGCA
rnacentral:pre_miRNA from 15 species